rnacentral:rRNA from 1 species
AUUGAACGCUGGCGGCAUGCCUUACACAUGCAAGUCGAACGGUAACAGGUCUUCGGAUGCUGACGAGUGGCGAACGGGUGAGUAAUACAUCGGAACGUGCCUAGUAGUGGGGGAUAACUACUCGAAAGAGUGGCUAAUACCGCAUGAGAUCUACGGAUGAAAGCAGGGGAUCGCAAGACCUUGCGCUACUAGAGCGGCCGAUCGCAGAUUAGGUAGUUGGUGGGAUAAAAGCUUACCAAGCCGACGAUCUGUAGCUGGUCUGAGAGGACGAUCAGCCACACUGGGACUGAGAAACGGCCCAGACUCCUACGGGAGGCAGCAGUGGGGAAUUUUGGACAAUGAGCGCAAGCCUGAUCCAGCAAUGCCGCGUGCAGGAUGAAGGCCUUCGGGUUGUAAACUGCUUUUGUACGGAACGAAAAGCCCCGGGUUAAUACCCUGGGGUCAUGACGGUACCGUAAGAAUAAGCACCGGCUAACUACGUGCCAGCCGCCGCAGUAA